rnacentral:rRNA from 1 species
AAUGAACGUUGGCGGCGUGGAUUAGGCAUGCAAGUCGAGCGAGAACCCAGCAAUGGGGGACAGCGGCGAAAGGGACAGUAAUGUGUAGAUUAUCUGCCCUCGGGUCCGGGAUAGCUGCGGGAAACUGCAGGUAAUACCGGAUAACAUCUCCGGAUCAAAGGUGUGAUUCCGCCCGAGGAUGAGUCUGCAUCCUAUUAGCUUGUUGGUGGGGUAAUGGCCUACCAAGGCUUUGAUGGGUAGCGGGUGUGAGAGCACGACCCGCGUCAUUGGGACUGAGACACUGCCCAGACACCUACGGGUGGCUGCAGUCGAGAAUCUUCGGCAAUGGGCGCAAGCCUGACCGAGCGACGCCGCGUGUGGGAUGAAGGCCUCCGGGUUGUAAACCACUGUCAGAGGGGAUGAAAUGCAGGUGGGUUCUCCCACUUGUUUGACAUAGCCUCAGAGGAAGGACGGGCUAAGUUCGUGCCAGCAGCCGCGGUAAU